UCAGAGCAAACGAAGUGGUUGCUGCGAAACCCUAGCCGCAUACAGAGGAUAAAGAGCAAAGCAAUUGCUGCGAUAACCCCAAACAUUUUCAGAGACAAAACAGUGUGGAAAUAGAAUUUCCCAUAAUAAACAGAGACUAGAUCACAUUCUUCAUCACAUCGUUUUCAUCAUUUUAAUGGGUUGAGACUCGAAAGGGCCGAGAGACAUGCCCCCUCAGUCUUCAGGUUGUUUACUUGAAAGUUUUGAUGGCAUGAGUGGAGUCGGAAAAAAGAAAAUAAGUGACGAGGUUCCCAUUCCAGAGCCUGCCAUAGGUGUUGGUGCUGCCCUUGGUGCAGACAUAGAGGCGGAGGAAGCCGUUGCAUUGCUCCCCCUUGCCGAGAGGCCUUUUGAUGCAGUCAUAUACCAGCCGCGUACGCAUGUGCCACCUCCUAGCGGCAUCUUGAGAUUCGAGGGCUUCAUUCCCGAGUUGGAUGAGGAUACUCUACUGCGAGAGCCCAUGGAGCUUAUCUCUGCUGACGCUUCCACGGUGAUCGCCAGGAGGAUAGGCGGCUACGGCUCUAUCUCUGGCCCCCGACAUUGGUAUGAGCGACUUCCCGCAGAGGUCCGCACUUCGGUAGAUGCUGCUGGCUUUGGGCCCUUUUGCUCCGGGUUUAUCCAGACGAGGGUCGAGUCUUGGCUUUAUGGGGCCUUGGUAGAGAGAUGGUGGGACACCACCAGCUCAUUUCACUUCUCUUUUACCGGAGAUAUGACACUGACCCCAUAUGACUUCUUGAUAUUGAUCGGUUUGCGGGUUGGGGUUGGCGGCCCAGUCCCUUUCGAUCCAGAUAUGACUCAGUGGAGAGAUGCAUAGCUCCAACUUCUUGGGGCGAUCCCAGACACUACCAGCCACAGGAUGGUGCGCUACAGCUGGUUCUUGGAGCACUUCUCCGGCACACAGCCAGCCACUGCAGACGAGGUUGCCCAGUACACCCGUGGUUCCUCAUAUAUCUCCUCAGCACUACCCUGUUUGCAAACAGGGAAAAUACCAUGAGAUUAUACAUUCUAGGAGCAUUGGUGCAUCUUCCUCGGGUAGCGGAUUACGACUGGGGUGGCGUAGGUCUGGCCACCUUAUACUGUUACACGUGCUUCGUUUCCCACCGUAAGAUGGAUUCACUCGGCGGCUACUGGAGGGUUUGGGAGCUUUGGGUCUACACAUAUUUCACUCUGUUGGCCCCAGUUCCAGUGAGGCCGGUUGAGUUGUCUGUACCCCGCUCUCAGUAUUACAACUCACGGUUCGAGCGACGUCACCUUGUAGAUCGCACCUUCCCAUAUUUCCGCCGUUUCUUUGACACUAUCACAGCUGAUCAGGCAUUCCCUAAGUGUCGAGGGUGACCUACACCGCUGCCUGGCAUGCUUCCACGAUGAGGAUCUGUUCGAGGGCCUUUUUGGCUGGGCAUACUACCUGGGAGAUUGAUUCAUCCGCUAGACUCGGGGCGUUGCUGACCCUGAUAUUUCGCAUCCUCCUUCUGCCGGCAUGAGGGUGGUAGAUGAUUUAUAGGAUGGUCCUGAGCUGGACCACUUGAUGAUAGGUGAAGACGGCGAUCGUCACCAUGAGCCCGGCGACUUCACUACUUUCUUACACACUCGGGUGAUGGCACCUCUUACUCCAGGCGUGGCUCGAGCUGUACCAGAGGUUGUUGUUGCUCUUGCUGCCGGGGCUAGCGAUAUGCUUAUUGGAGGUGCCUCUGCCGUUGCUCCUAUUCCUGGAUUGCUUUUGUUUCCCACCGAGAUUAUGUACAUGCGUCCAGAUGGAGUGAUUAAUCAGAUUCCACUUGAGCCCGUCGAGGAGAGGGACGGCAAACUUGUGUUUGCCCUUGGUGUUGAGCAAAUUCCCCGGGCAUAUGGUGACGAGCUCCUUCGGACGAUUGACCGACUACUCAUCAUGUUACGGAGGAGACAAACUGUUUUAGUCACCCACGGGAUUGAGGUACAUUCUGUGUGUAGCCUACUGUCAUUGCCAUACUGUACACCUCUGAUCACUCUAUCUGAUAUUUGAUAUCUGAUAUUAUAACUAUUAAAACAUUAAAUUAUGCACCAGAUUCUGGAUGCCCAUGUUUUGCAAAUUCAAACAUUGGACCUAUUGAAAUUAUGCACUUUCAGAAAGAAAAAAACGAAUACUAGUUGUCAGUUAACAACAGCCAUCUAAUAUUUCACAUAGGCCCAAAUUUUUUCCAGAUUAAAUAUCAAAAUGAAAUCUUACUUGGCUUAUGUUUUUGAAAAAUUAAUUAGAAUGAGAUAUUAUUUGACUCUGCUUUUGAAAAUUAAGACAUUCAGCAAUAAGAAUUUGUUACCAUUAUGUUUUCUUGAUGGAUCUUAGGAAAAGGAUAAAUUGGCCAAACAGUUGAGCCAUCUCCGUCACAUAGUCUAAGACAAAAUUUGCAUAGAAAGCAAGUUAUGAUUGAACAGAAACAUAAGCAAUGAAAUUCUAUGAAAGGUGAAAAAACAAAUCAAUACACACUACAAUUAUGAAUUUCUGUCUGACGCUUGAGGGACUACAACAAAACAAAAUAGAAAUUGGUUUGAAUGAGAAUUAAAGUGGGAAUGCAUUACAAGUUCAUGAUCUAAUCUUCAACAUAGAGUAACCAAGUUACAAACAUCAGAUAAUCACAGAGGCAAGUUUUGCAAGGAUGGAGGUAACUAAACUACCACUUGUGUUCCAGGACAUACCAAAAAGAACAGAGAGAUUUGAUAAAGAAUAUGCAUAUAGUACACGACAUAACUACGGAAAGAAGGGAAGAGAACGAAAAUUUGCCAGGCCAAUCUACAAUCCCAAUUCCGACAACCUUGAAUACAGGAAUACUUCUCACAAUUUAUAUAAUUCUUGAGGAAACUAACAAUGAGUCCUUCAGUUGUUGCUACUUGAUGUAUAUGUUCAAAUGAAAACAUUAUUGCCAUUCAGUGAGUGGUUUCUCUUUAUGUAUGUUGAUUGGAACCAAGUGCCUGAGGAUAUUCUUGAAUCAAUAUGGGUGGACAUUAAGGUAAAAGCCUAUUUUGUAAAUUGUUUAAUUAUAUUAUUAAUUAAACUAAUGAUUUAAAUUGUAUUGUGGGAUAAUUUACAAAUUUGUAUAGAGGGGUACAAAUCACGUUGCUUGAAAAAGUGCAAUGACUUGUGGAAGGAUCACAAAAGCAAGAUCAAGAAUAAGUAUUUUUAGUGAAGUCUCAUCCUAAUAUCAAAGAUAUGGUGCGUUCACAAAUUGUUCCAGAACAGUGGCAAUUGCAGUCCAUAAUGCUAGAAGUCAUUCCUUUCAUUAUAUUAAUCAUACGAAAGGACGUACUUCAUUCAACCAGAUUCGAAGGAAGAUGACUGCUGGAGGGUUGGCCAUUGAUAAAAUGAGUGUUUGGAAAUAUACACAAUCAAACUGACCUUGAUGUUAGGCCGACCAUGGUAUGUUGCCUGAAGAUUACCACACUACUGAAGAUACUCGAGAUGGUGUUUUCCACAAGGUGGUCAGUGAAAACGGGCAUGGAUAUUGUCCAACUUACAACAAGGAUGUGCUUUGGAGCACGGUGUAUGGAGAUGCAUCUAAAGUCAUCACAGUCAGGAUCUCAGUCAUCGACUGUUGUUGAGAUCACCAAGCAGGUUCGUAUGGAGUUGAGACAAGAGCUGAGGGAUGAGAUUAGAGAGGAAUUGAGAGAGGAGAUGCGAGUAGAGCUUUUGACACAGAUACGAGUGCAAAUCACAACAAACAGGUACCGGAAGCAUUGAGUGGCCAUUGUGAACCUACGGAUUAUGAGGCCGAUGAGAACCCACGUACACCACCACCAGAUGAUGAGAUGCAACCCCUUUUGAGUACGUGGUGAUAUCUUUGCAUAUCGAUAUUGGAACUUAUUGUUGAUAUUAAAACAAGCUAUAAUAUAUAUUUUUUUAUUUGUAUUGUCGAUACUUUUGUUUUGUUUUAGAUGCAAAAAUUUAAGUUCUUGAAUAUAUCAAAAAUUUUAAGUAUUGUUGGAGAAUGUUUUAUAUAAUUUUGUAAAGAAUAUUUGGUUGACAAUUGUUAAAGGAUACAUAUAUAUUAUUCUUCCUAUGAUUUAUUCUUCA